UAAGCAUAUUUUGCACACACCUUUUCCACACAUUUAUAGGCAUGUGUCCACUGAGACCUGGAUUGAUAUCAAACUGGGCAGACACAACACCAAACAGAAUUUCAAGCUUCUGUGCUGGAGUCUUGGCCACCUUGGUCAAGAAGGUGAGCUGUUCGACCAAUUCCAUCUUUCCAGUCCCCUUUCUACCCCUAGCAGCAACGAUUUCCUUGAACUUCUUGUUGACUAUCUCCCACGUGAUUUGACUCGGAUCUUUAAACUGUUUAUCUAGAAGUUUGUCUUUCUUGUUCACCUUCUUCUCCCACCCAUCACCUAUCGUUUCCGGAUCAUCAUCAUCAGAUGCAGAUGCAGCUGCAAUCUUUGUUGGGUCCUCCUCAAAGUCGUCCUCUUCUUCUUCCUCUUCCGACUCUUCAUCAUCACCACCCUCCUCCUCGCUCACUGGAGGAUUUUCCCUAUACUUAUUAAUCAACUCCUCGUACUGCUUAUUAUUCUUUUUCAGUUUCUGUUUCAUUGAAUUUAAGGCUUUAGCAUUACUACUACUCAUCUUCUUCCUAGUCUCCUUGUUGGCCAAGGCCUGAUUCAAGAAAUCCUCCAGCAUCACUAGAGCUUUGAUAUAGAGAUUUGGUGGUUUAAUAGAUUCUGUAAUGCGCAUGACCUUCUCCAGCUGCUUAUUAAUCUUGUCAAAGCUCUCCUGCAAGCUAACCCAGUCAUUAAUCUUCAUAGCAUUCUUCAUCUGAUCAACUGUAGCUGACAACUCCUCAAAACGCUUGUCCUUGGCUGACCGGACAACUCGCUUCUGACCAUCCGAUUCAUCACUAUCGCUAUCAUCAGCUGCAAGAUAUCUUGCCCCAGGCCCAGACGGUGCAUCUGGAUUUUCAGCUGGCGCAUCAUCCUCCACCUCGUAAUCACUCUCCUCCUCCUCUUCCGUAUCACUAUCACCCUGCAAAUAUCAUGUAUGGACAAAUCAGACUACACAUUCCCUAACCGAACCAUAUUUAGGGUUCUAGGCAAUAAGGACUAUCCAAAAAAGACUAUCACAUUACAAAAACAAAUUACUCAUUCACAGCACCUCCGUUUCGUCUAUAGAUUUUGUUACUCAUCCAAAUACCAAAUAAAAAAACUAAAUCCUUAUCCAGUGAAAAUACAAAAAAUAAAACAAAAAUAGAACUAAUUGAAAAAUAAGUUACCUGAGUCCAAAAACGGGACGCCAUAACUUCAACUAGUUCUUAAAGAAUCAGAUAUAGAAUAAGCUGCAAUUACACAAAAAAAUAAAUCAAAAUUGAGGAUAAAUUAUUGUUUUAUACAAACGACUAAAUGUUGAAGGAGAAAAGAUCGAACCUGUAAGUUGGAACUGUGGAUUACGGUAAGUUUGCAGCGGAGAAUGAAUGAAGAGAGAAUGAGAUUUUUCAGUAAGAACCCUAAAAGAUGAUAAGGGUUUGGGCCGACUCGUCUUUGGUCCAAUUAUAAAAGGACUACUACAAGUCUUAAUUUGGUCUAAUUGUGUGGCAAUAAUUAGCGGAAAAAGAAAUAAAUUACAUACUUUUAAAAUGGAAAUAAUCUUUUGUCCCUUAUAAGUUUAUAAUGAUAAAAAUCUUUCAAAUGAUAUAAUAAUACAAGCGUUGAUACAUUAAUUUGAUGUGCGAGAUACAUUAAUUAUUAAGUAAGAUACAUUACAUCUAUGAUACACUAAUUUAAUAUACAUUUUAUACAUGAUAUAUUAAUUUGAUGCGCGAGAUAUAUUAAUUUAAUGUGUGAAAACAAGAGAUUUUGAAAAUUUAUAAAACUAAUAAGAAAUAAUUAUAAUAAGAACUUAAACAUGGAAUUUCUGUCAUUUAUCUAAUAAUAAAAGAAUAUUAACAACAAUAGUAAUUGUAAGUACAUAAUGUAAACAUAACCAAAUUAAUAUACUAAAUAUUUACAUUUUAUUUAUAAAUGACGUGUAAAUUUAGUUGAUUUGUAUAGUAAUUCUUGUAUGUAACAUAUUAUAUCUUUCUUAUGUCGGUAAGAAUAUUAGUAAUAAUAAUAUAGUUCCAAUUACAUAAUGUAUACAUAAAAAAAUGUUGCAUAUGUACAUAAAAUUUUAUCUAUAAUUUAAUGUUACGUGUGUACAUAAAAUUUUAUGGAAAUUCAUAUACAUAUACUAUAAUAAAAAAAUAUUUAUUAUUUAUGGCAAUAAUUUUUUUUUAUUUGAUCACUUUUAAUUCACUUAUAAUACAAGUUUAAUACAUAUCAUAAAGAUAAAUUUAUUAUUCAAAUAUAAUACAAGUUUUAAUGAUGGAUUGAUGGUUCACACAUUUUAAUACACUUAUAAUACAAAGUGACAAUUUUUUACCAAACAAACAUAAUAUAUUUCAAAAACAAUUAUAAUUCAAAUAUAUUGCAUACAUAAUUCACUUUUAAUACAUGUUACAGAUUUAUCACAAUAUUACUAUAAAUGGUAAUAAACAAAAAAUAUUCCUAAAAUCACUAAUUAUUUUUAAAAUGUAUUUAUUCAUGUAAUUUUUUCAAAUUUUAUCCAUAAUAAAUUAUGUGUAAAUUUAGUUGAUGUAUACGAUAAUUGCAAUAUGUAUAUAAAUGUUAUAUUUUAUUAGUAUACAUUAUUAUUAUACAUGACUAUUUUAGGAAAUGAAGAUAGUAUUUUCGGUCUUUUAUAAAUAAAUAAAAUUUUAGGGUUAACUACAUGAAUACACCUAUGAUGUGAUUUUAAAUUUUGGAUACGUAACUAAUAUACUACUUUCUUCAUUUCAUGUUAAUUUAAUUUUUAAGGUAUUUUAUAUUUAGUGCGGGUAAGUUUUAUCCAUUUCACCCCUUUAAGAAAAAUAAAUUAAGACAUAAAUUGAACCUAAUUUUUUAUUUUUACCCUUAUUAAUUAUAUUGUUAAAUUUAUAAUACUAAAUAUUGAUUAAUUACUAAUUUCCAUACUGACUAAUGAAAAGUAAAAUUGAAAGAUAACUCUAAUAGUAAUUUUGAAAACUGAACAAUUAAGUUAAUUUAAAAAAUAUCUUAAAAUUAAAUUAAUAUGAAAAGGAGGGAUUACACAUCAAUAUUCUCCUUAUUCAAAUGUUUUCAAUCUUGCUUUUUCACAUAUCUGUCUAGACACACCUAUUAAGAUAUUAAUAAUUGACAUAGUAAGUUUAUCAUUUAUCCCUAUUAAUUGAACUAAAUGAAUUAAAAACUUAGCAUUUUCAAAAAAGUUCUAUCUUUUUCAAAAUAAUUAAUAAUAUGCUUAGAUUUCACAAGGAAUAGAAGUUUUUGUCCAGCACUAUCCUGACUUGAAUAAUUUUUGACAACACAAAACACGAACAUUAUGUGAGAACUUGUUCCGAGGAAAUUGAGAUUACACUGUUCAAAGAAUACAUGAUUGGUUACGUUACAUUCAUAGUGUGUGUAGAUGAUACAUCAAAGUAAAACAGACAUGCAUUGGGCAUUUCUUGAAGAAUUUCACUUGCUAGUGUCCUAAUAAUGCCCAAACUACUAUCUAUGUUCAAGGGUGUGCACAUCCAAGUUUCAUCUAGCUUCUUUGUCUCAGAAUCUAAUAUCAAAAAUAAAGAACCUACACUCAGAUGAGGGAGGCACAAACGACGUAUUAAAGAUCAUGGUUUCCAAGGAGCUGGCGGAGGUGGUGGAGUGGGAAACAUCGGUGGUACUGCAGAGAAUAAAGUGUUCUUAUCAAUUCCGACAUCUCUAUCUCCAGAUAGAGCCACGAGAGCUGCAACUAAACCAGCAUUUCCAGCAAGAGUAGGCUCCGUAUAAUUGUAAUUAGAACGGACAUCACGGAAACCAUCAUGCUUGUCUGGUCCAGCAACCAUGGCUCCAACAAUAGUAUUUGGAUUAGCCUUAGAUGAAUCCCUAUAUUUCCAUCCACCUUUACAGUUAUAUUUGACCUUGUUUUUAGGAAUUGAUGCCCCUCUGUGGUGGACAUGCUUAGGAUAGUGAUUGCCAAAGCCAACAACAUAACUCAUUUUCCUGGGGUUCUUCCCAAGGAUGUAGUCAAUCUACAAGGUCAAAGAAACGUCCAAGUUAAAACCAAGAAAUGAUUUUCACCUUACAACAGAAUAGGCAAAAGAAAACUUGUGUAUAUCGUAUCUCUAAUAUUCUACACACCCUAGCGGCAAAUUAUCAUUCAUAUUUGUCCCUAUUGUCCCCAAAACAUGAAGCAGAGAGAAGGGAAGUUGGUUGUGGAAUAGCAUAAACAACAACCAUUGACAAGAUAGAACCCAAGAAUAAGAAAAGAGACUCUUACUAGGGGAGAUUCAUUUACCUGGGUUUCUGCAAAUUUACGCAGGACAUCAGUAGAGUAGAAAUUUGGUCCACAGUACCAUCCAGGAGUGUCGGCAGCUGCGAGAUAGUCACUAAACAAGGUAGCCAGGAAGGCUGCAUUGACUACAUACUGGAGAGGCUGAGGCCUUCCAUGGUUUAAUUGGAUAAGCCCUCCUGGAAAGGUCAAAAAGAAUUGGUUUAGAUUUCAAACUAAAGAUUUCAAAUUACUUUGACGCGAACUGGGUAAUGAAGGUUACCUUUUGUGCGAUUAAAAGAAGUGAAGAUUGGCAGGUAGGAGCACAUGAUUAUGCUAGUCUGGUUAUGAAAUGUCCUUAAAAUUUCUUCAUAAGGAUAUCCAGGGCUCAGAAACAGCCUCAUACGGCUCAGUAGCACCUGAAGAGAUAACAAAAAGCAGUGUUAUAGCAAAAAAUAAGUCCCUCGAAGAAAUGAGAUAUCCUAGCUUAUAAGUCUCAAGCACAAAAGCUGCACAGAAAUACUAGAGGAGGGUAAAAGGAAAGAAGAGGUGAUAUUGACUGACCUGAGCUCCAGUGAGCUUGUUAUCCCAGCUGAGCACACCGUAAUCAGGACCUCCCCAGAAAGCACCAGCAUGUUUGGCAAUACCAGGUGUUGUAGCAAGCUGAAGAUAUGAAGAAUUUCCAGUAGCAUAAUACAGCCAAGCCGCACCCCAUAUAAACUCAUCCCAAUAACCGGUGGAAUUAUAGAAGGUUUCAGCUUCAUUGCCGACGCUGUAUCUUCCACGCUGGUCUCUAGAAAAUUUGAAGAGAGUUCUAGCACCAUGUACAAGCUUUUGCGAGUAAGCUUUGUUGUCCUUAAAAACAAUGGAGGCAGAAGCCAGCGCAGCAGCCAUCUCUGCAGCAAGGUCCGAGCAGCCGUGACAUUCAGUCACAGGCCGAGCGUAAUCAAUGUCUUCAGGACGCACCCAGCAAUAGUGAUCAUUGGGGUCAGUAGCCCCUCCGGUAGUAUCCCCUUUUCCAACCUAAACAAAACAUAAUUUGUCCGAUGAGAUUAAUUAAUUCAGAAUAAGUUCAAUUUUGACUCAAACACUGUCAAAAUACAAUUUCAUGCAGUCAUUGAUGCUGAUCUGAUUAACAAGGAGACUUAUCUUAGUGAAAGUCAAAAAGCCAGCCAAGAGAUUAUAGUUAUUUUAAAUGUUUAAGAAGUAUAAUGGGAAUCAUGAUUUCAUGACUCAGACGGGUAAGGCGAUGAUAACUGGUUAGAGCUGAAUACUAAUUACUGACGAUAGAACAAACUAUGACAUUCUAGUUGAGAAAAUUUGUGAUCUACACAUUUAUAAGGAAAAUUUAAAUGAUAAUUACCUGUGCAGCAAUCCGGUCUAUGGUAUCAGCAGAGGAAUUGAAAGUCUUCAGGAGAUAAUCAGUACCCCACUUAAUAGUAUCUUUAACAUGAGCGAGCUCCCCAGCAGCUUCAUAUUUAGCACUGUACUCGAUCACACUCCAACUCAACAUGGUGAGAGCAAAUGACUGAGGGAAAUUAAACUUGAUUGCAUCUCCUGCAUCAUAAUAACCCCCAACCAAAUUUUUGAACAUAGUUGAAUCAUCUGACUUGCCAUCUUGCAAACAUGAAUUCCCCCUCCAUGACACGUUAUUAUGCUUGGGCAAUUUUCCAGCUGUAAAUUCCAAUAGAGAAUUAGCAAAAAACUAAGCUAUAACCAAAGAAGACCAAAACAUCACAUUCAAGCACUAAAUUUAAAAAAUAAUAUUUUUGCAGCUCAAAUCAUGUAGCUGCUGAUGCAGUAAUCUUCCAAUCUCAAGUCAAAGGCACGUAGAGCCAUUCCACAUAUCAUAUAUAAAGAUAAAUGAAAAAAAUAUCAUAUUCUAUAUCAAGUGACCUUGAUCAACUUAAAUACUAACUUCACAUAAGAUAAGGGGGGUAAGGCUGCGACACUCUACCCUCCUCGAACCCCACUUAUACUCUUAGGAUUACGGUGGGCAUGUUGUUGUUCAUUACCUUAAUCAACCAAACUAACCAAAAAUUUGGGGAAAAUAAUAAAUAUUUCCAAAUCAAAGCAAACAAAACAAGAAGAUCAAUACAGAGGACUGAAUCAUGCUUCACUAAGAUCAUACAGUUUCCAACUAUCAAUCUAUCACAAACUAAAAUCCAGACAAAAAACAUGAUCAAUAACAGAUCUAAUGUGCAAUGAGAUGGUAAAAAUCAGAUUUUUAAGCCCACAGACUGAAGAAUUCAAGCAAAUAAUAAACAGAUAACUUACAUUUCUGGGCAUUGAAGAACAUAAGAGCUUUACGGAGAGCCAGAGUAUAAUUAUCCGGUGGAGGAUUGUGAUGUUUGUGUCUAGGUACAAGCUUAACAAUCAUAGUAAUGAAUCCAGCUAGAAGCGCAGCCGCAAUAAUACACCCCACAGUCCACUUAAAAAUCUUCCUACUCACAAUAAUACAACCAAGAUCCACAUACUUCUUCUUCUUCUGCUCAGUCGGACCCAACAGCCAGCUCUGUUGAGUCUCAUCCAGUGACCUAGACAUCGCUGCCCUAUCAAAAUCCUGCAAGUUCCUGCUCCUGUCAUCGUCUGUAGCUGAAUCAGCUGUGUGGAUCUCUAAAGGUCCACCCCAUGGAUCCCUACCGUACAUAUUGAUUCUGGGUACUCAAAUUAGAGCUGAAAAAACACCCCCACAAGCUCAAAACAUGCAAAGGUUGAAUCUUUUUUCCAAGAUUCAAGAAAUGCUGAACUGGGUAAGUCUUGAUCUACUGUUUUUUUUUUUUCCUUUUUUCAAGAAAGUUGUGGAAUGAAAGGAGAUGGCAGAAAGGAUGGGGUAUUAUGGAGGAAGGAGGAAAGUGGGACUAGAAAAUCUAGUGGAAAAUAAUGGAUAUAUGAAAGCUGUGAUGGUGCUGUUUUUUUGGCUUUUUUGAUUAUAACACAAUAUAUUUAAUACUAGUAAUAUUACCAAACUUGAGAAAAAGAAAACAAAAGAGUGAAGUAAUGCAGAAGAAAAAUAUACACAAAAAAAAAGGAAAGUAGUAGUAGUUGAUGACACUGACAAAACAGCUAAUGGACAAUGACAACCUGUCCAAUGCCAAUCCUCCUCCUUUAAUGGGGUGUUUUACUUUCUAAUUUCGUAUUUUAGCUGUUAGGACAAAAUCUCCAUAAAUAUAAAAAAAUUCGAAACUUACAAUGUUUAAAAUUACACAUCUAAGUCAAUACUUGUUGAUAAAUAUAUAUAUGUUAUUGCUCGCUUAUUUGUGUGAUUUAUUAGCUAUUAUAAAUUUAAAAAUAGUUGUUAUAAAAAAUAAUAAUAAUAAAAAGAUGCAUGGUACAAGAGAAAAUUAUGGCUCAAUAACAUAGUAUUAAAAGUUAGGUGGAUAAACUGAUUUUAUUCAGUGGGAUUGCUUAAUUUAGUUGACUUUCACUUCAAGGCUAUUUGCUAUUAUUUUCAUACCUAACCACUAAAAAAAUGGCAGGGGCAAAAUUGUAAUUUCAAAGAGGGAACCAGCUGACAUAUUGGAUUGUAGUAUUUUUAGCCACACCAUAUUCAAAGAGACAGAAUAUGAAAGAUGAUAAAUAAAAUUGUCCAAAUAUAAAAAAAUGAUUCUCUUAAUAAUUAAGUUUUGGUCUGAGAAAAGACAGUAACACAAAAAUCCUACUCCUACAUUUACAUUCCCAUUCCCCACUAAUUUUAAUGAUUUAUGGAGUCUGGUUUUUCUGUCUCUAAAAUAGAAUCUCCACAGUAGAGGUUGUUGUUUUCAAGGCAACUCAAAUCCCCUUACUUCACUCAACAACAAAAAAAAUAUAAUUUUAUGAUUCAUCAGUAAUAGAAGUGUUAAAAUUAUCUUCUUUUUUUAAAAAAAAAUUGCACUUUGUAGAUGGAAAGGGCAUGUUUUUGCUUGUAAGGUUUAUGACAAGUAAUAUUAACAUUUUAUUUUUAUAAAAAUAGUAAACCAAAAGAAGAGAUCCUUGUCUAUAAAUCUGUUAGGCCAAUGCAUAUCAUAGAGAUCAUGUUUAGUUUGCAAAUGUUGACAACUCCACGAUUUAUUUCUCAUUCAAGAAUAAAUAUCAUGUUUUUUUUGUUAAUUAAAGGAUAAUGACGCGGCUGCAUGUGAAAGAGAGAUACAAAGUCAUCAUCAUGUGCUGUGUCGGUAAAGAUUAUCUUUUUUCCUUUAGCUGGAUGGAAUUAUGGUUUAGUUACAAAUUAUUGGUUUCUUCUCCAUGUUGAAUAUUUCAAAAUUAAUCCCCAAUCUUCAUUAUUCAUUAAAAUAUAUUCUUCCCUUUUUGUUGUAUUAUUGUCCCCAUAAACGUUAUGUGGGUUCCUCUUUUGGUCACUGAACAUGGUGGGCCUUAUGCCAAUAUAACAGCCCAGUGCUCAACCUGGUCAUCAACAGAGCCCACCCACUUAUGUGAAAUGUGCAUUUGAUGAUUCAAAAGAAAAUUUAGCAACUUCUAACUAUUAUUAUUACUUCUUCCUUCCCAUCAGAAUGCUAAUGAGUGAGCAUAUUGGGAGAAGCAGUCCACUUAACCAGAUGUGUGCAGCAGCAUCUAGCAAAGACAACACUCUAGUGUGUAUCUAUUACGAGCUAAUAUUUGAUGCAUAUUAAGUUUAAAAUGAAUUGUUGUGUCAUUAGAUGAGAAAAGCAGUGCAACAUCCAAAAGAUGCUCUACAAAGUCACAAAACAAUGUAGCACAAUGGAACUUGGUCUUAUGAAACAAAGAAAGCUGUAAACUCUACUACAACAAGGAACCCUCAAGAUAUGUGAUUCUUCCUAUGCAAAAAAUUGUGCACGUCUCUCUCUAAUAACGACCCCCUCUGUUAAGAUUAACCAUGCGACCUGAUCCAUCCAUAUGGCUUCCCUUGGAAGUUGUACCACUCUGAUAUCUUGAGCCUUGACCCCCAAGAGUCCCUCGUGCCUGAUUAGUACGGUCCCUCGAUGUUUGACCAGAAGUUGAUCUACUACCGGCAUACCCUGUUCGGCCACCACUACUACCUUGCCUGCCUUGUGAGAAGGAGAAGUCCUGCCAUCUACCACCACCACCAGCUGCAGCAGCAUAAUCCUGGCCAUCCCUGCGCCUUGGUGGAAGGCCCUCCAAUGCACCACCACCAAUCCUCGAUUCUGUUGCUCUUUCAUUACUUUCUGCUAAAACUGACAGCUUUUCUGUCAACUGGAAUGCCAAAGCUUGCAAUCUUGUAUGCUCAACAUCAUGAAAGACCAUGCAUUGGGAUGGUUGAUCCCAGCUUGCAUGAAGCUCCUCAGAAAUCAUCAUUUUGCUCACAAUGCUAUGGAUCUGAGAAACUGAAAGGUCAAACAUCCCUGCAACCUGAUCCAAACUCAGAGAAUUAUAAGAAGCAGAAUAUGUGAAAAGGUAGGUCCUCAGUGCCUCUUCCUUUAUUUUGCCUCUAAGCAUCUCAAGAACACUGUCCUUGUUGCGAAGCAGCCUCCACACAUCAAGGGAGUUGAUGACAUCAAAAGCCUUCUGAAAGUCUCCUUGCCUCAGGGACCUUGUCGCGGCCAUGACGUGGUCCCUCACAUUUUCAGGUGGACCAGUAAAAGUUUGCCUCUCACUGAUUUCAAGCAAUCUCCGGAAUGUUUUGCUUAUGACCCUGCGCUUCAUGUCAUGGCUAUUAGCUGCCAUGUUUGGCACUUCAAGAAGCAUUGCACAUGUCAGAUGGACAGCCUCAAGAAGUUCAAGAUUUAUAUGCAUAUGGUAGGGCAUCUGACGCCUCCUCUCCAUCCGCUCCUAACAGUGUUCAAUAUGUACAGUUUAGAAGCUUUGGCAAGAAACAUAAUGAAGAAUUCCAGCCAAUAUCAAUGAGAGAGUUGAAAGUACAAUUUGAUAUAAAAUACUACAUGAUUAUUUGAAUAACCUCUAAACUCCCACAUAUGUCGAGAAUUAUAUCCGGCAGGGUCCUCUGACCACAUGUGGAGAAAGCAAAAUAAAUAAUAAAUGAUUUAAUCCGAAGCUAUUCGAGUAUAGGUGACACAUUUUGAUUGCUAAAACACACAUCCAAAUCUGUUUAUAACUCCAUAACAGUAAUAUUGAUUGCUCUAUCAUUGACACAGAAAAUAAUUGAUCAUAACCCUUAAUGGAUAGUUCUCAUUAAUAAACCCAUUUUUCAUGAGUUCCUUCAAUCAAAUGGGAAACACAAAACAAUAACAAAUGUUCCAAUUCAAAUAUGUUCAAGUCACACAUUCGAUAACAAAAAAACCGUCAGCAAAACUUCACAACUCCAUAAGUGUAAUAUUUGACUUCUCUGCUGUGGUUAAAGUGCACUGAUACAGCAAGACGGAAUCACCGGACAGACUGAAGGCUUUAGAGUUUAUUUUGAUCUCUUCCCCUUUUUUGAGAUCUAUCUCAAAGUUUCAAUAAAGAACAUAGUCAGCAUAAAGAGGUAACAACUUCUGCCUACCUUAUCGUAGUGCUUUAGAAGCGCGUAGAGAGGAUGCAGAGGACUUGUGAAUCAAGUAAAUGGAAGAACAUUAUCAGAAGAAAAGUCGAGGUGAAAUAGGCAUCGAGAACCUUAAGAACCAGAGCAAAGCUGCUAAAGUGAAAUUGCAAUGGAGAUAUUCCCAGGAAUCUCAAACUCUUAAAUGUUGAGUAAUCAAAACAAAAUAUGAGGAGCUGGACAACUGGGUUUCUAAAGAAGUUACUACAUUUUAUGGUGUUAGCCUCUGGAGAUGCAUUAGGUCCUAUUGGCCAUUCCUCAGAAGUCAGUCUAAUAUCAAGGUCGACAAUGGCAACCAGACACUUUUUUUGGGCAGACAAGUAGAUGGGUCUUGUCAGGUUAGAAGUUCUAUUCCCUGACAUCUAUGCUUUCGCCCAACAUCAACACAGGACUCUUGAAUGGCUGGGAAAUUCCAAGAUAGACUGACGUAUAUAAAAGCAUUUGGAAACUUUUCAUGGAAUACAAAUUGGAGUGGAUUGUUUAUGGUGGAAUGGAGAUGGCAAAAGUAUAUAAUGAAGGUGAAGGUGGGAUACAAGAAUUGAAAUCAAGCUAAACCACAGAUCACUAAUUGGCCUUGGGAACACAUCUGGAAAAUCAAAGUGCCUCACAAAGUGGCCUGUUUCACAUGGCUUAUACCUAAUGAGGCUGUUCUAACUCAUGAUAAUCUAUCAAAGAGGAGAAUUUCCCAAUGUUCAAAUGGUUUUUUUAACGGAAAAGGAUCAAAACUACCCUUCAACUAUUUGAAAUAGAGCAAAUAUACCCUUCAACUAUGUUUUGGCUCAAAACUACCCCUUCCGUCUUACUAUUGGAUCACUUCUACCCUUCCUUUUAACAGAAUAAGAUGUGGCAUUCAAUGUGUAUAUAAUACUGCCACAUAAACGUCCACCUAACCUAAUCCAUCCCCACCGAUUAAAAGGUAAGGAGAUUGAACACCCGUCUCCAAAUGUUCAUUAUCAUAGCGAAAUUCCAUUCUCUCCGGCGAACGAGACUGAACACUGGAGUUAUAAGUUAUAACCAUUAAUUAUCUCAUCCGAAUAAUGGAUCUCUCUAAUGUUGACAGAAUAAUGGUGGUAAAAUCGUUAUUUCAUCCUUCCGGAUAAUGGUUGUCCAUUGUUGCCGGCGAUAGAGAAGGCACAAAGCUGCCAGAAUCACGCAAAUAGUUUGAAAAAUCAUAGUAGCCUUUGCAUUUCUUGCAAGAUCUCAAAACUGUACCAUCGCAGAACAACAUGGUGAUGGUAAAUGUAACAGGAUCCGUCAAGUUGUGAGAACAAAGUUAUAUUGUUAGAAGCCACAGAAACGGAAACUAAAACGGAAGUCAAACUUAACAACUACGGCCGUUUGAUGGUGAACGCAUUAGCAACAACAGUGAAUCGUCUUCUCCUUAAUGUUCUAAUUAUGUAAUCAAGAAGAGAUUGAUGGUCCAAUACACCGUCAAUUCCAUGAAAGGUGAAAAGAUUGUUCACUAAGGUCAGAUUGCUGAUUUUAACAAAUCAAAUUGAAUUAUUUGUCGAAGAAACCCAUAGUUGUCCAGUGGAGCUUUUGAAGAAGAAGAGCAAUAGUUAUCAAACAAAUAUGGGGAAUCUUUGUGCUAUUGAGAUUGGAUAAAAGGUUGACCCUAGUAAGAAGGGUUUUGAGAGUGUUCUAAAGGAAGAGAGAGGAGGGCCUGGUAAGGAUGAGCAAAUCUUGGCAGAUUGGCAGGGAAUGAAGGGGGAGGUUGGAUCAAUUAGUGGGAUGGGGCGGGUAUGCUUAGGUGGAUGUUUAUGUGGCAUUACAAUUUACACAUGGAAUGCCACAUCUUAUUCUGUUAAUGCCACAUCAUAUUCCGUUAAAUAAAAGGGUAGAAGUGAACCAAAAGUUAGACAGGAAGGGCAAUUUUGAGCCAAAAUAUAGUUUUUCAAAUAGUUGAAUGCAGUUUUGACCCUUUUCCGUAUUUUUUAUGAGGAAGGCAUGCUGAUACAGUUAAGACAUCUUUUUUACAUUGUAACAUCACUGAUCAAUUGUGGAAGAUUUUUAUCAAUCUCACAGGCAUCUCAUGGGCACUGCCGUGUAAGAUAGUUGACAAUAUGUUCAGUUGGGGCCAGAAACAGAGAUAGAAGGAGGAUUAUCCCAGCAUGUAUUGAUGGACUAUGGAUAGAAAGAAAUGCCAGAUAUUUUGAAGAUGGGCGUAAUGAUGUGCAGAAGAUUAAAAUAGGCAUAAUACAUAAAUAUGUCCUUUAACUUGGCUUCGAAUCACAUUUAUGUCCUUCAAUUUUGGGUGUGCACAAGUAGACACUGGAACUUGUAUAAAGUUGAACAAAUAGACACACAUGUCCUACAUGUCAUUUUUCGUCCUGCGUGGUGUCUUGCGUGUAUUUUGCCAUGUAGGACUCAUGUGUUUAUUUAUUUAAAAGUUGGAUAGUUAAAGUGCAUGUUUGUGCAUUAUGAAAGUUAGAGGUCAAAGUUAAAAUUAGAAGUCAAGUUUAGGGUCCAAUAUAUGUAUUAUGCCAUUAAAAUAUAUUGUUAAUCUGCUUUUGGUGUACAAAGGUUUAUUCAGAUGAGACUGUUCAGGAUUGCAGCCUCCAUUUUGAAUUUAUUUUCUUUUCUCUAUUCGUAAUUAUGGAUUUUCCAGAACAAACUAAGUAAAUUUAAUACAAAUGCUACCAGAUUUUAAAAAACAAUAUUACUAGAUGAUAGAUUUUAUGCAAUGUCUUUUCCUCUAUCCGAUCUGUCUAGCUGUCAAAAAAGGGUAUCUCUUCAUUACAACAGUACAGAUUAAACAAAAAAGAUCUUUUGACUCUCCCUACAUCUUUCUCUAGACUAUUUUUUCUCCCCUCCUCCCCUACUAUGUGACUGAAGCACUGUCAAGAUCUUUAACUGUCCUUCUACCCUACUAUGUGACUAUACAAAUUGUGGCAAUACACUGGCCAAACGAACACUCUAAAGUAGAUACAAGCUACUAGCCAAAUACAAUUAUUAUGAAGAUUAAUGAAGAAACUAAUUUAAAAACGUAAUAUUUUAGUGACACAAAAUGGCAUGAAAUAAGAAUAAAUGUCUUACAUAAAAGACCAAACAAAGAACAUUUUCAGGAAGAUACCUGUUCUGGAGUCUUCUCAUGAUAUCGGCUUUGGGAGACACCUUGCGCAAGUAACUCCUUCACCCUGCCAGCAGAAUAGAGUUCAGCAAGGCAACCAUGCGCUUCUGCAACAAGUGCCAUCCUGAACGCACAGAGCCCAAGUUGAGCCAUCGCUCUGUUAAAAAGUAUCUGAGUUGAAAUGUCCAUGUGCUGGAUAUUUUCCUGCAAGUGACUCAUCAAUAACAAGUCACGGGAUGUUGAAAACUCAUCCAAGAUAGCAUGGUGAUAUAUAUCACAGAGCAUUGCACGGGCCUUGGUUCGUUCAUCUCCAUAUUUAUAUAUGAGAGAAACGAGACUGUCCAUCAAUGUCCUGCUGUUCUCUUCAAAAGCAGGUUUCCUGGGCACAAGUUCAGGAGUUGCAAUAAAUGCAGAUGGACCUCUACUCUCCUCAACCACUUUGUUUUCUUCUACAGACUCUGCUUCUCCACCUUCUGUGAGCUCAGCCAAUUUCCUCAUAGCAUCAUACACUCCUUGCGGUUUAUAAUAGAUAAAUUCAACCUGUUUAAGAGCCACUUUGGCAGCACCCUUAUAGUCACCCACCUGUUCUAAAUAACGCUGGACAUUUUGAGCAAGAACCAAAAACAACGGCUCAUCCCUCAGCCUCUCAACAUACUGGCUGGUAUGUGGAUCAAUUACCUGCAAGCUCUUGAAAAACUCUACAUCAAUCCUUUCAACAAAGGCAACCAAGUUUCCCCAGAUCCUUAUAGUUCCUGAGUGGUCUGCUCCUUUCUGAGUCUCAUUCUCAUCAGGCUCCACCAUGUCAUCAACCACAAUGUUUGGGUAUUGGGUCAAAACAUCAAGGAUUGUAAGCAUAUUUUGCACACACCUUUUCCACACAUUUAUAGGCAUGUGUCCACUGAGACCUGGAUUGAUAUCAAACUGGGCAGACACAACACCAAACAGAAUUUCAAGCUUCUGUGCUGGAGUCUUGGCCACCUUGGUCAAGAAGGUGAGCUGUUCGACCAAUUCCAUCUUUCCAGUCCCCUUUCUACCCCUAGCAGCAACGAUUUCCUUGAACUUCUUGUUGACUGUCUCCCACGUGAUUUGACUCGGAUCUUUAAACUGUUUAUCCAGAAGUUUGUCUUUCUU
rnacentral:lncRNA from 1 species